UACGUAGGGUGCGAGCGUUAAUCGGAAUUACUGGGCGUAAAGCGCGCGUAGGCGGCUUUGUAAGUUAGAGGUGAAAGCCCGGAGCUCAACUCCGGAACUGCCUUUAAGACUGCAUCGCUAGAACGUCGGAGAGGUAAGUGGAAUUCCGAGUGUAGAGGUGAAAUUCGUAGAUAUUCGGAAGAACACCAGUGGCGAAGGCGACUUACUGGACGACUGUUGACGCUGAGGUGCGAAAGCGUGGGGAGCAAACAGG
rnacentral:rRNA from 1 species